GUGAAUUCAUCUGUAAACAGUGCCCACACUGCAUUGGUUGAUUAAACCUCGGAUUAUAAUGUUCCUUUAAUUUUUUCAAUCAAGGAUGUUUACCAUACAUCACGGGAGCUCGGGUAAACCCGUCGCAGUGACACUUCCAGGGUGGCCUUCACCAAGUCAGUCACUACAGAAGAACACUGCUGACCAUGUUCUCAGGGGCUCUGAUGGUGUUGCUGGUGGUCCUCAUCAUGUGCAGGAGGGUCAUAUGGCACGGGAUCUGCCUGCUGAUUGGUCGGAUGUUGUUUAACGAGCCUGUGAGGGAUAAACAAAGAACUAAUAAAGUUUUGUGAGACCAACGCACUGAGUCAAUCAUUUUAUCCGAUUUUCAAUGACGAGUCUUCAGCUCAUGGAGCUCAGGGUGAGACCACAGAUGGAUCAGCCUUGUGUGAGGAGAAAUGUGUUAUUUGAUCUCAGGGGAGACCUGAUGACCACCACACAUUGAACACUGACCCCUGUCCAGUUGUCUAAAGAUGGAUCUGGUCACCAAUUAAAGUCACUAUCUUUGAUAUUGCAGAUAUAUUGUAACCUUCUUGUGAAUGAUUGUUGACAAUAAGGCACACCGUGUUUACACUAUUUUAUAUUACAUA
ensembl:lncRNA